rnacentral:rRNA from 1 species
CGGCCUAACACAUGCAAGUCGAGCGAGAAGGAAGCAAUUCCUGUAAAGCGGCGCACGGGUGAGUAACACGUAGGUAAUCUACCUCGAAGUGGUGGAUAACCUUCCGAAAGGAGGGCUAAUACAGCAUGAGACCACGGUUUCGAAAGAGAUUGAGGUCAAAGCGGGCCACUAUACAUAAGCUCGCGCUUCGAGAUGAGCCUGCGGCCCAUCAUGGUAGUUGGUAGGGUAAUGGCCUACCAAGCCGAAGACGGGUAGCUGGUCUGAGAGGAUGAUCAGCCACACUGGAACUGAGACACGGUCCAGACUCCUACGGGAGGCAGCAGUGGGGAAUCUUGCGCAAUGGGCGAAAGCCUGACGCAGCGACGCCGCGUGAGUGAUGAAGGCCUUCGGGUUGUAAAGCUCUGUGGAGGGGGACGAAUAAGGGUUGGCUAACAUCCAGCUCGAUGACGGUACCCCUUUAGCAAGCACCGGCUAACUCUGUGCCAGCAGCCGCGGUAAGACAGAGGG